rnacentral:rRNA from 1 species
UGGGGAAUAUUGGGCAAUGGGGGAAACCCUGACCCAGCAACGCCGCGUGAAGGACGAAGGCCUUCGGGUUGUAAACUUCUUUGAUCAGGGACGAAACAAAUGACGGUACCUGAGGAACAAGCCACGGCUAACUACGUGCCAGCAGCCGCGGUAAUACGUAGGUGGCAAGCGUUAUCCGGAUUUACUGGGUGUAAAGGGCGUGUAGGCGGUCUUGCAAGUCGGAAGUGAAAUUCCCGGGCUUAACCCGGGCGCUGCUCCCGAAACUGCGAGACUUGAGUACUGGAGAGGAUAGUGGAAUUCCUAGUGUAGCGGUAAAAUGCGUAGAUAUUAGGAGGAACACCUGUGGCGAAAGCGGCAUUCUGGCCCUCACCUGACGCUGAGGUGCGAAAGCGUGGGUAGCAAACAG